rnacentral:rRNA from 1 species
CGCACGGGUGCGUAACGCGUUAUGCAACCUACCUUAUUCAGGGGGAUAGCCCGAAGAAAUUCGGAUUAACACCGCAUAAAAUCACAGCUCAGCAUUGAGUAAUGAUCAAAUAUUUAUAGGAAUAAGAUGGGCAUGCGUGUCAUUAGCUAGUUGGCGGGGUAACGGCCCACCAAGGCGACGAUGACUAGGGGAUCUGAGAGGAUGACCCCCCACACUGGUACUGAGACACGGACCAGACUCCUACGGGAGGCAGCAGUAAGGAAUAUUGGUCAAUGGAGGCAACUCUGAACCAGCCAUGCCGCGUGCAGGAAGACAGCCCUCUGGGUCGUAAACUGCUUUUAUUCGGGAAUAAACCUUUCUACGUGUAGGAAGCUGAAUGUACCGAAGGAAUAAGGAUCGGCUAACUCCGUGCCAGCAGCCGCGGUAAUACGGAGGAUCCAAGCGUUAUCCGGAUUUAUUGGGUUUAAAGGGUGCGUAGGCGGCUUAUUAAGUCAGGGGUGAAAGACGGUGGCUCAACCAUCGCAGUGCCUUUGAUACUGAUGAGCUUGAAUGAACUAGAGGUAGGCGGAAUGUGACAAGUAGCGGUGAAAUGCAUAGAUAUGUCACAGAACACCGAUUGCGAAGGCAGCUUACUAUGGUUUUAUUGACGCUGAGGCACGAAAGCGUGGGGAUCAAACAGGAUUAGAUACCCUGGUAGUCCA